GCAGAUGGCUGGAUAGCCGCCGCCAGCAUGUGGGUUCGCUUGCAUGAUGGGGGAGGAAAGUCCGGGCUCCACGGAAAUACGGUGCUGGUUAAUGGCCAGCGAGGGCGACCUCAGGGAAAGUGCCACAGAAAGUAAACCGCCUGUAGGCGUUUCGACGACUGCAGGUAAGGGUGAAAGGGUGCGGUAAGAGCGCACCGCGUCCCUGGUGACAGGGAUGGCAGGGUAAACCCCACCGGGAGCAAGACCAAUAGGAGUAGUUGCAUUCAAUUGCAGGCGCAUUUCCGCGCCGCCGCUCGGGUGGUUGCAUGAGGGUGCUGGCAACAGUACGCCUAGAUGAAUGGCUAUCGCCCAGAUGUGCUUUGGUACAAAUGGGAUACAGAACCCGGCUUACACGCCAUCUGCCGCU
rnacentral:RNase_P_RNA from 1 species